UUCACUGAGAAUUAAAUUAAUGUAGGUGUUAUUCCUAUCCUCAUGUUUCAGAUAGAGAAACUGAAGCACGGAGAGGUUAUGCAGCUUGCCCAGGUUCACGCAACUGGUAAGAACAGCAUCGGAGUCCAUGUUCUUAUCACUCAAGAUGUUCUGUUGGGGACAGCAUGCCGUGGUCUUGAGGGAAAUUUUCAUAUGAAAUUCCUGGCUUCAAGAAAGGAAGAAAGAAUGAAUACAAUAUAAUGGCUGUAAUCUGGAAUUGAUUAAAGAUCCAGUAAAUGAGAUAAAGCAAUCUCAACUGAGUAAAGGUAAAGUCAUUUCAAUGUUUAUAAGUAGAUGCUUUCUUUAAAAAAGGGAGAAGUAAUUUUAACGUUUAAAACUAGAGCAAUACUAAGAAACACCUAAAUUUGAUAUCAAAGAAUAAUUUAGCAAAGUAACACUUUAAAAACAAGCAGAGUAGAAGACUAUUGUUUUUGUCUAGCUAGUACACUAUUUCCCUUCUAUUUAUGGAAUCCUUCUUUAUUAUGGGGAACCCUUAGCAUGGGACUAGCAACAGGCUAUUCCACUCUGUUUCCCCAUUGCCCCAAGGAAGGCAGGUGACCCAGCCCUGGCCAAUCAGAAUACUCUCCUUCCUGUCCUGCGUUCACAUAUGGGCACAAGAUCCAAGCAGGGCACAUCAGAGUCUUUCCUGGGAUUUGAUAUGUAGAAUCUGGGAGAUUCUCUAGUCCACUGGGAUUGCAAGCUCUAAGGACAAUGUAACUAUUCUCCCUAGCCAUUUGGAAGAAGUUGCUUAUUGUAGGAGGAAAGAGGCAACAAACAAAGAGAAUGGGCAUAGAGGAGAGAUGGAGGGCCUAAGACCCUUAAUAACAUUUUUUGAGCCUCUAGUCCAGCUGUGCCUGGGCAAUUUCAAUUAAGCUUAUUUGAUUGGGUUUCUGACGCUUGGCAAUCAAGAGUCCUGGUUAUAUGACGAAACCUGUUAUUCUCUAUUUCUUUUUAAUUUCUUUUUUAUCUUUUCUUUUCUUUUUUUAUAGAGAUGGGCUCUCACUAUGUUGACCAGGA
rnacentral:lncRNA from 1 species